GAUGAAGAACGUAGCGAAAUGCGAUAAGUAAUGUGAAUUGCAGAAUUCAGUGAAUCAUCGAAUCUUUGAACGCACAUUGCGCCCCCUGGUAUUCCGGGGGGCAUGCCUGUUCGAGCGUCAUUUCAACCAUCAAGCCCCCGGGCUUGUGUUGGGGACCUGCGGCUGCCCGCAGGCCCUGAAAACCAGUGGCGGGCUCGCUGUCACACCGAGCGUAGUAGCAUCAUCUCGCUCAGGGCGUGCUGCGGGUUCCGGCCGUUAAAAAGCCUCUAAUACCCAAGGUUGACCUCGGAUCAGGUAGGAAGACCCGCUGAACUUAAGCAUAUCAAUAAGCGGAGGA
rnacentral:misc_RNA from 1 species